rnacentral:rRNA from 1 species
GAUUAACGCUGGCGGCGUGCCUAACACAUGCAAGUCGAACGAGGUGGCGGACGGGUUAGUAACGCGUGAGUAACCUGCCUUAGAGCAGGGGAUAGCCUUUGGAAACGACGAAUACUACCCUAUCCUCUAAGAUGGGGUUGCGUCUGAUUAGGUAGUUGGUGAGGUAACGGCCCACCAAGACAGCGGUCAGUAGCCGGCUUGAGAGAGUGUACGGCCACAUUGGGACUGCGACACGGGCCAGACUCUACGGGAGGCAGCAGUGUGGAAGAGUGCACAAUGGGGGAAACCCUGAUGCAGCGAGGCCGCGUGAUUUAGAAGGCCGUCGGGUUGUAAAAAUCUUUUCUAUGGGAAGCAGUACCAUAGGAAUAAGCACCGGCUAACUUCGUGCCAGCAGCCGCGGUAAUUC